rnacentral:lncRNA from 1 species
GAGGGCACUGGAAGAGGAACUGUCCUCAGUACAUUGCUUCCCUGGAUUCGAACAGGUAGAGAAAGAAGCAAGCUGUUGCUGGGCAAGGUAUUUAUAUGAUAACUCCUUGUAAUUUUUUUAUUGUGAUAUAACUGACUAGGUAUUGGAUACUACUAGCCCUUACCAUAUUUGCAAUUCGUUGCAAGGGUUGCAGGUCAGCAGGAGAUUCGAGUAAGGCGAGAACUUUCUGAACGUUGGAGAUGGAAGACUAGUUUCAGUUCUAGCAUUAAGAAUCUUGAAACUUGUAUUUGAGUCUCAUAUCGUUAUUCUAAAUGAUUGUCAUUUCUGUCCCAGUUUCCUUUUAAAUAUUAUUUCUGUAGGCCUUCUGACAAAAAAUGAUUAUAAAAUUUCAAUAAAAAAACAAGUUUGUAAUAUCAUUAUGAAUGGUGUUACUAUUUUUUGUAGACAUUUGAACAAUGAUGUGUAUAUGUUAUUACAAUCUGUUAACGUAGUCUAUUCUACUAGCAAGCAUCCUAGAUUAGAUAGUGUAUCAGAUAUCUACUUAUGGCACUAUAGGCUAGGUCAUAUAAACAAGAAUAGGAUAAACAAGUUGACUCAAGAGGGAAUCCUUG